rnacentral:rRNA from 1 species
ACAUCCAGAGAAUUUAGCAGAGAUGCUUUAGUGCCUUCGGGAACUCUGAGACAGGUGCUGCAGUGGCUGUCGUCAGCUCGUGUUGUGAAAUGUUGGGUUAAGUCCCGCAACGAGCGCAACCCUUAUCCUUUGUUGCCAGCACGUAAUGGUGGGAACUCAAAGGAGACUGCCGGUGAUAAACCGGAGGAAGGUGGGGAUGACGUCAAGUCAUCAUGGCCCUUACGAGUAGGGCUACACACGUGCUACAAUGGCGCAUACAAAGAGAAGCGACCUCGCGAGAGCAAGCGGACCUCAUAAAGUGCGUCGUAGUCCGGAUUGGAGUCUGCAACUCGACUCCAUGAAGUCGGAAUCGCUAGUAAUCGUAAAUCAGAAUGUUACGGUGAAUACGUUCCCGGGCCUUGUACACACCGCCCGUCACACCAUGGGAGUGGGUUGCAAAAGAAGUAGAUAGCUUAACCUUCGGGAGGGCGUUUACCACUUUGUGAUUCAUGACUGGGGUGAAGUCGUAACAAGGUAGGCGUAGUGCU